rnacentral:lncRNA from 1 species
UGCACCAAUCUAUUCGGAUUAAACACCAUCCCCAUGAUAAUCUUAUGAUCGAGAGUAAUUUUUGAGUUAACUAGUAAUUACACAUGUCUCAAAUUUUCAACUCUUGAGAAUAUAUGUCAUUAUACCCAUUAACUCAAUGGAUGAUUUAUGGACAUAAUUUAAAUACAACAUGAAUGGAAAAUAAUCCAGAUUUUAUUCAUUUCAAAAUUACAAUUACAAAAU